rnacentral:sRNA from 1 species
GCUUCCCUUCCAUAGCCUCCUUUUUCAAUUGGCAGGAUGAACAUAGAAAAGGGCCACCCCAAGGAUCAACCCUUGAAUUCCUCGGAAUGCUACCAUGAACAGAGAUGCCCUCACCAGGUUUCAUCACCAAUUGGCAGACAGCACAAUCAUGCAGUUUGAACAUAUUUCCUGUCGGAUAAUUUAUUUUUAAUCUGUGAACAACAUAGCAGAGCCCUCCUCAUAUAUUUCCUCCACGACAUCAGGUUCUAGACAUCCUCUGUCCAUCUGAUCUUCAGUCAAUUCAUCAGAUGGCCUCCGACGGAACAAAGCUUUGAUGCCUCCUUUCCCAUGCUUCUUUAAUGGAGGGCUCAACUUUUCUGGAGGUAAUAUGUCAACUACGAUGCAAGUAGUAUCAUCUCGUAGUCCCUUUGAACUCACAGAUUCCUAUAUAAGAAGAUCAUGACCGCAGCUUCAGCUGGCAGUCCUCUGGUAUAGUUCAGAGCUUCCUGAAAGCGCAGUGCAUCCCAGACACCAUCGCUAGCAAUGACAAGCCGAAUAUAUAAAUCACAUACCUUUACUUGCUUCACAUGUGGGACAGGAACUAUAAACUCUCCAACGUCGAUAUCACCAAUUGACCUUGAUAAACACAAUCCGCCUGGCCAGCAUCUAAGUGGACCAAUCUGAAAUCCCCUCCAGCAAUAUUUAUUCUCCCAACAUCACCUCCACUUGCUGUUACACGCUCUACCCUGCAAUUGUAUAACUAGGCGAUGAUCAGCUGACAAAAAAUAUACUGAACCUUCAGCAGAUUCUAGGAUACAGCGGGAAUCGCCAACUGAUGCUACAGUGACAACCCAUCCAUCUAUUAUAACAAAAGUCACAGUGUGAAAGAAUAAUACCUUUUGUUUGGAACUCUUUAUCUGUCUUAACAAAACCUGCAACUAGUGCCCUCGGUAAUGCAGUUGUCCACUCCUCACUUGUAAGAUUUGGGGGAAUAGCAGCCAACACAUUGUUCAAGAGGUUCUCCCUGGUGUAUAUGGCAGCCGCAGAUCCAUUGUGGCCAUCGAAGAUCUGAAGAGAAGACAGGAUAAAUAAUUCAAGAUCAGUGGCCACUUCAGUUAGGAACGUGAAGUCCUCCCCUUUCUUGCUCUUGCUCGCCUCGCCGAACAGCAUGUCCGGCCUCUCCACCUUCUGGUUGCACAGCUCUCGCUUCAGGAGCACCGCCAGGGGCACCCCCGAUCCAUCCACCUCUCCCUGC